rnacentral:rRNA from 1 species
UCGGGAAUUUUGGGCAAUGGGGGAAACCCUGACCCAGCAACGCCGCGUGAAGGAUGAAGUAUUUCGGUAUGUAAACUUCGAAAGAAUAGGAAGAAUAAAUGACGGUACUAUUUAUAAGGUCCGGCUAACUACGUGCCAGCAGCCGCGGUAAUACGUAGGGACCAAGCGUUGUUCGGAUUUACUGGGCGUAAAGGGCGCGUAGGCGGCAUGACAAGUCACUUGUGAAAUCUCUGGGCUUAACCCAGAACGGCCAAGUGAUACUGUCGCGCUAGAGUGCAGAAGGGGCAAUCGGAAUUCUUGGUGUAGCGGUGAAAUGCGUAGAUAUCAAGAGGAACACCUGAGGUGAAGACGGGUUGCUGGGCUGACACUGACGCUGAGGCGCGAAAGCCAGGGGAGCAAACGGGAUUAGAUACCCCGGUAGUCCCUGAGCGGGCUGGCAAGGCGCAU